GCUCCGGGCCAGACCGUCGCGUUCGCCCGCUCCGCAUGGAGCGGCGCUGCGAGGAAAGUCCGAACACCACAGAGCAACCGUGCUUCCUAACGGGAAGGCGUCUCCGCCGGGAGGCGACCGCACGUGCAACAGAAAACAGGUCCGCCGAUGGCCGCGCCUCGGGCAACCGGGGCCGGAUCAGGUGAGGAGUGAAACGGUAGGGUAAGAGCCUACCGGCGCGUCGGGCAACCGGCGCGGCCAGGCAAACCGCACGGGGUGCAAGGCCAAGCAGUUUCGUCCCGCAAGGUGCUCCAGCUCGGAGCAAGCCGUACGGCUGGCGGAACGGGUAGGCUGCUCGAGCGGCGCGGCGACGCGUCGCCCAGAUAGAUGACGGUCCGGUCGGCGCGGCGGUUGCAGCCCGCGUCGGGCGACAGAAUUCGGCUUAUCGGCCCGGAGCGGCU
rnacentral:RNase_P_RNA from 1 species